UACGUAGGGUGCGAGCGUUAAUCGGAAUUACUGGGCGUAAAGCGUGCGCAGGCGGUUCGUUGUGUCGGCGGUGAAAGCCCCGGGCUUAACCUGGGAACGGCCGUUGAAACUGGCGAACUGGAGUGUGGCAGAGGGGGGUGGAAUUCCGCGUGUAGCAGUGAAAUGCGUAGAGAUGCGGAGGAACACCGAUGGCGAAGGCAGCCCCCUGGGCUAACACUGACGCUCAGGCAUGAAAGCGUGGGGAGCAAACAGG
rnacentral:rRNA from 1 species